CCUACGGGAGGCAGCAGUGGGGAAUUUUGGACAAUGGGCGCAAGCCUGAUCCAGCCAUUCCGCGUGAGUGAAGAAGGCCUUCGGGUUGUAAAGCUCUUUCGCGAGGGAAGAAAACUUACCAUCGAAUAAAUGGUGAGGCUGACGGUACCUUGAUAAGAAGCACCGGCUAACUACGUGCCAGCAGCCGCGGUAAUACGUAGGGUGCGAGCGUUAAUCGGAAUUACUGGGCGUAAAGCGUGCGCAGGCGGUUUUGUAAGUCAGAUGUGAAAUCCCCGAGCUCAACUUGGGAACUGCGUUUGAAACUACAAGACUAGAAUAUGUCAGAGGGGGGUAGAAUUCCACGUGUAGCAGUGAAAUGCGUAGAGAUGUGGAGGAAUACCAAUGGCGAAGGCAGCCCCCUGGGAUAAUAUUGACGCUCAUGCACGAAAGCGUGGGGAGCAAACAGGAUUAGAUACCCUGGUAGUCCACGCCCUAAACGAUGUCUACUAGUUGUUGGUGGAGUAAAAUCCAUGAGUAACCGNAGCGACGCGUGAGUAGACCGCCGNGGGAGGUAACGGUCGCGAGAAGUUAAACGUUAAAGUUAAGUAAGUUAGUUACGGCGUGGAGACGUUAGCCGACGGACGACGACGAGGGAGGAGG
rnacentral:rRNA from 1 species